GUGUUCUGUGGCAUCUCAGGGGGUGGAGGGACGAGCAGCUUCGGGGGCACGUCCUCGUGUAUCCUGUGGAGGACCCUGACCCCGCACCCCACCCUCGAGGCCAGAAAUCGGUUGCCUCUGGGGACCUGAGAAGCGAGACCACUCGCGCCCCUGACUUGCAAAGUUGGGGUCUUUAUUGGCCUCCGGGAUUCUGCUCCUGGCGGUUUCUCCAGGCUGGUGAUGGGCAAGCCGGGUGUACCAAGUCCAGGAUGCACAUGAGGAGCGUUUGUAGCAGUCACUGAAUCACCUCAUGACUAGCGGGGCAGGCCUCUAAUUCACCGCAGGAUUUCCGACAAG
rnacentral:lncRNA from 1 species